GAAAUACUGCCCCCUACCUGUUAUUAAUUCAUCUUAUCUUUAUUUACUGUAAUCAUUACCUAUUUUAUAGAUUGAGCUAAUGCAGGAUCUCUGGUCACAAAGACCUCUAUUCAGUCAAUUUGAGAGCAUAUGUCUACACUGUUGGGGAUGAAAUAGUUGUGUAAGAUCUUGCCUCUGCCUUCCAGGAGAUUAGAAUGAACUUUGUACUGUUUAAGUCAUAUUUUAGUCAGUAACUUCUGUUGUGCCAGUGUUGCCAAUUCUUAACCUCCCCCACCACAAAAAGAAAUAUUCAGAGUUCACUGCCAUAAGCUCUGGUAUUUAUUCAGGAAAAAAGAAUGUUGGGAACUUAAAAGGCAAGAGAAGGUUAAGUCCAGAAAAAAAGUCAGAGCCUGGCUUUUGGGGUUAUAUAAUAUCUUGGCAUAGUGCUGUGGUGAUAGCUGUGAGAAUCUGAUGCAGCUGAGUAUUUGCUGGAUGAAAUCAGUGUAGUUCAAGCUAGCAGUAUUCCCACCUAGUAUUUGUGUUUCCCUAGUUAUUAAAAAACGGUGCCUCAGAGUUAAAAUGAGGUGUCCUUUUGGCUAGACUGUUAUUUAUUCCUUUUUUUCCCUUUUCUCUAACUUACCCCUUAAUUUUUCCGUCUCUUUUCCGGAGGUAAUCGUGGAAUUUGGCACAGGUGCCUGCCGUGACUUCCCUUCUGGAGCCUCCAGAUAGUCGUUGGCACUCUCCUAAUCAUUUUCUACUUUUACAUUCAUUCAUGCAUUCAGCGAAUGUUUCUAGAUGCCUGGUUAUAAUGGUGAACCAAAUAGAGACGGUUCCCCUUUAUAGUUACGUUUGCAUUUUAAUGACGGUAGACAGUAAAGGAGCAAACUUCUGAUAGUGUUAGGGAAAUACAGAAUGAUGAGCUGAGGAAUGGGGGAGAGUUGCUUGGGGGCACUCCUUUAGAAAGUGUCAUCCAGGAAGGCCUCCAAAAGAAACAUGAAGGUUGAGAGGGAGCCAGAAAUGGGCAGAGAACAGUGGAAGGUAAAGGCCCAGAAGGCAAAGAACAAACUUGGCAUAUACAAGAAGUAAAGUGUAUCGAUCAGCAUUUCUAUCAGAGGAAGUGCUGCAGGCUCCCCUCGGAGCCCCAUUUGCCUAGCUAGCUCUUUUCCAUUUCUGGUCUGCCUGUCUUCUUCCUUUGUUUGUCGCUUACAUAUUCAGAGUUUACAGAUCCAGUCAAGGUAGGUUGGUUAUAAAGAAGGAAAUAAACUGAAUUCACUGAUGCUGUGGCAUUCGUCUGAGAAUGGUAAAGCCUAUUCUGCACCAUCAGGUUUUCUAAACCAGGUCCAGGUUCUAUCAGGCAGUGAGCCAUAAUCUACUAGUUAAUUUAAAUGAAAUCAUGUCCAUUCUUCUACUAUAAUGACAUGCCUUUGGGAGAUUUCAGCUGUGCUAUUUAUAAAGACUUGUGAAUAAAUAAUCCUUAAAGAAGUGUAACUCCUAUCUGUUCUUCACCUUUUCUCUAUAGCCCCCUGAGCAUGAACCAUCAUUUCAUUUGAUGAUCUUGGCCUCAAUUUCCAAAUAGAUCCUCUUUUUCUAAAGAAGUGAAAUGGAUGGACAAGUUCUUGGUGUAGGAGUAUUCUGGUCAACCUCUUCCAUGAAGUUCACAAACCUGGAAAAUGAGUGGGCUGGAAAUGGGGCUGUAUGGAGAAUGCAGCACUGGUGAUUGGCUGAGUCACGUUCAUAGUGCACAUACUGGCCAAGUGCGCUGUGGUUGAGUACUGUAAUUAAUAUUUGACCAGGGCCUAAGCUGAAAAGUACCAUCACGGGAUACAAGUUCUAAAAAUACAUGAGUAAAUUUUAUCUAAAAGUAUUAUAAUGCUAUUGCAUUGGUUGUAUUUAAAAUUUUAAUGUAGUUCAAGAUCAUUAAUUUCUCAGUUUUAUCAACUGCUCAAUUGCUCCCACAUUCAUGUUAAAUUACUAACAUUUGCUUUUUCUCCAUUAGUAACUAAGUUAAAGGCAUUCCCUCUUUUUUUUGUUAAUGGAGGUACUGGGGAUUGAACCCAGGCCCUUGUACAUGCCAACCAUGCGCUCUGUGACUGAGCUAUUCCCCAUCCUCCAGGGCAUUUCCUCUGUAAUUCCUGAAUUUAAAGUUUUGGGGGUCAGUGGAGAUGAUAAAAUUUAAUUAAACUAUUCUCACAAACUGAAACUUUGUGCACCUUUGGGUAAAGUUUUCAGAAACAAAUGUAAGAUAUGUAGCCCCCCCCCCUUUUUUUUUAAAUAUUUUUUGCAUGGAUUUACGACAUCACACAUUUGCUUGGGAAAAAAAUUGUCAGUAAACCUUGGUUCUAAAAAUACAGCAAUGGAGUCACGUGACUGGCUCUCAAGAUAAAAAUACUGCUUCUGAAUUUCAAUUUCCAUAUCAUCUUUAAUUGCAUUCACAGCAUGCACACCAAUGUCAGCAUCUUCCCUGCAGUAGAAAGAGAAUCUUGACAGCAAGUAUCAUGUAAGAAAUACUUGCAUUCUAAAGGCACAUUCACACUUAAACUGGUGACUAGAAUUCAGCAUAUAAAGAACAUAGGGAGAUUUUCACUCCAAGUUACAUCUAAAAUGUUUAUUUGAAAGUGAGUAUUCAAUGAUUAGUUGUAAAUCAAUUAAUUGUACCCUACUGAUUAGGUAUGACCAUAUCCUAUGUAAUCACAUAGUAACUGAUGACACACAAGCUGUGGAGGCCAGAAAGCACCCUGAAGUAGGCAUUUAACCAUUAAACCGUGCAAAGGCUGAAACUGAGGAGCCGCUGAUGUGCAAAUUCCCAGGCUGAAGCUGAACUUCAGUUCAUUCCUAAUUCUUACCUUCGGCCAAAAUGUACAAGGGUACGUUUUGUGUGCAGCCCGAAGCAAAGCCCAGCUGGCAGAACUUGAGGUGAGAGCAAAGGGAAAAUUUGACCUUGGCUGUUAAUAGGGGGUUUGUCCAAACGGAAAAUGUUGGCUAGAAUAGAAAUGAGAGCUAACGUUUAUUCAGAGGUCACUAUGUUCCAGACACUGCAGUAUGAGAUAAGUUUUAUCCAGUAGUAUUCAUUUAUGAAAAUUGAGAAAAUAAUCCCUACUAAGCAAUUUGAUUUUGGAGGUUAAAUGAGAUAAGGGACAUUUUGAAAGUACUCAUUUUACUUUUGAGGCUCAAACUCACACAGUACUUACUUUCUAUGUUAAGAGAAAUGGUAUUUUGGCAAAUUUGUGAAGCUAACUCAGUUGUUGAACGUAGAUCCUACUUUGGAAUGUUCAAUACCUGGCCUGGCUUUAGACUUAGUGUAGGGAGCUCUGUAAAUAUGAUCGAGUGAUCCUCACUUAUGAAAGAUGACCUUACUUUCAAGAUAAUAGCUAAUACUUGAAUGAAAAACCCAUUAUGCAGCAAUGAUUGUAAUUAAUAAUGGAGCAUUUUAUAGCUGGAAGAGCCUUAGACAUUAUCUAGCCUACUCAAGAGUUAAGUAAUUAAACCAAAGUUGCAUAGAAAAAGAUAUUGAGACUAGAAUAUCAUCUUCUUGAUUCUUGGUACUGUCCCUUGUGCUGUGCGACGCUGCUGCAUAUAUGCUUAUAGUUAUACAUUCAUAGUCUUCAUCAUAAUGAACAUUCACUGGUUCUUGGUAGGAUUUGGGGGGUGGAUGUGAGGUAUGAUGCUAUGUCAUCAAACUAAUCUGAGAUUCGAAUCCAGCUCUGUCAUAAUGGAUGAAUUGCUUGACUUUUCUGAAUUUGUUUCCUUAAAUAUAGAAUGGAGUAUUACCUACCUCAAGGACUAUUGUGAAAAUUAAAGUAAAUGAGAUCACAGAUGUAAAUCAAUGAGAUCGUGGCCUGCCACAUAGCAGGAAUUCAGUAAAUGGUGGUUGUUUUUCUGAUA